AGGAGUCUAACACAUAUGCGAGUAUUUGGGUGUUAAACCCGGAAUGCGUAAUGAAAGCGUUAAGGCGGGAUCUUCGGUGCACCAUCGACCGGUCUGGACCAUUUGUGAAAGAUUUGAGUAAGAGCAUAUUUGUUAGGACCCGAAAGAUGGUGAACUAUUCCUGAAUAGGGCGAAGCCAUAGGAAACUCUGGUGGAGGGUCUUAGCGAUUCUGACGUGCAAAUCGAUCGUGUGAUGUGGGUAUAGGGGCGAAAGACUAAUCGAGCCAUCUAGUUGCUGGUUCCCUC
rnacentral:misc_RNA from 1 species